UACGUAGGGUGCGAGCGUUAAUCGGAAUUACUGGGCGUAAAGCGUGCGCAGGCGGUUUUGUAAGCCAGAUGUGAAAUCCCCGGGCUUAACCUGGGAAUGGCGAUGGUGACUGCAAGGCUAGAGUUUGGCAGAGGGGGGUAGAAUUCCACGUGUAGCAGUGAAAUGCGUAGAGAUGUGGAGGAACACCGAUGGCGAAGGCAGCCCCCCGGGUCAAAACUGACGCUCAUGCACGAAAGCGUGGGGAGCAAACAGG
rnacentral:rRNA from 1 species